rnacentral:rRNA from 1 species
CAAGCGGUGGAGCAUGUGGUUUAAUUCGAUGCAACGCGAAGAACCUUACCUGGUCUUGACAUCCACGGAAGUUUUCAGAGAUGAAAAUGUGCCUUCGGGAACCGAGAGACAGGUGCUGCAUGGCUGUCUUCAGCUCGUGUUGUGAAAUGUUGGGUUAAGUCCCGCAACGAGCGCAACCCUUAUCUUUUGUUGCCAGCGGUCCGGCCGGGAACUCAAAGGAGACUGCCAGUGAUAAACUGGAGGAAGGGGGGGAUGACGUCAAGUCAUCAUGGCCCUUACGACCAGGGCUACACACGUGCUACAAUGGCGCAUACAAAGAGAAGCGACCUCGCGAGAGCAAGCGGACCUCAUAAAGUGCGUCGUAGUCCGGAUUGGAGUCUGCAUCUCGACUCCAUGAAGUCAGAAUCGCUAGUAAUCGUGGAUCAGAAUGCCACGGUGAAUACGUUCCCGGGCCUUGUACACUCC